rnacentral:rRNA from 1 species
AUUUUCUGCCACCGAAUACAUUAGCAUGGGAUAAUGGAAUAGGACCCUGUCCUCCUAUUUUCAGUUGGUUUUGGCAGCGCGAGGACUAGGGUAAUGAUUAAUAGGGAUAGUUGGGGGCAUUAAUAUUUAAUUGUCAGAGGUGAAAUUCUUGGAUUUAUGAAAGAUUAACUUCUGCGAAAGCAUCUGCCAAGGAUGUUUUCAUUAAUCAAGAACGAAAGUUAGGGGAUCGAAGACGAUCAGAUACCGUCGUAGUCUUAACCAUAAACGAUGCCGACCAGCGAUUAGGAGACGUUGAAUACAAAACACCACCAUCGGCGCGGUCGCCCUUGGCGUUCGUGUUCACGCACGGGCGCGAGGGCGGUUUAGCCCGAUGGCACCGGUGAAUGACUCCCCUAGC